UCGGACACUCAACCGACUGAGCCACCCAGGCGCCCCUUUAAGGAUCAAGUCUUUGCUAAGUAUUCUGCAGGGGACUGAAAAUGUGUGUGCUCCUGUCACCGAGAACAACAAAUCCGCAGGCUUAUGAACUGUGCCGCUCAAAUCCUGUUACAUUUUUACUACUUUUUGUGAAAUGAUAUGAAAUAUACAUAUUGGUCUCUGCA